UCGGUGAUUGGGCCAAUUCGUAAUCCUUCUUGAUCGAUGAUUUUGUAUGCUCCAAUUGUGAAAACUUUUUGACGAUGUAGGGUCCGUCCCAUUUAUAUGUGAAUUUAUUUCUCAUAUGUCUCGUCGUGAUGAUAGGUCUUCUUACUGCAAGCACUAACUCACCAAGAAGGACAUGGCGGAGCAUAAAGGGGAGAGUGACAGCAGCAAAAGUGAUCGUCAUUGGAAAAGACCUUUGAAGAAAGGGAAGACAUCAGGUGAUGAAUCUUGUGGAAGGGGCUCGAGUGCUAUGGGAAUUCCCGAUGUCCCACCAUUGCUUUGCAUCUUUUCCUUCUUUAAUACUUUUCUUUUACUGUUCAUCUUCUUCGUGAGCGAUUUAUCUAUUGCUUAUUUCUGCAAUCACCUUUGGACGAUCAUCUUGAAGGACUUAUAGAUAUAGAUAGUGAUGAAUCACUAACUGGUUCUCAUAUGACUGAUACGGCCAUUGAGAAAGUUGGUAUUUCGAAGACACCAGCUGCAAAACCAGCCGAGAUGAUUUGUUGAGACAAGAUGAAAGUGGAUGGCAAAGACAUCGAGAAUCCUCCCUUCAGAGGAGGUGCCUGUCCUACAGUGCCUUCAACGAAUGUUACAUCUAUGACUGAACUUAAAGUGAACCUUAAGCUGCCUAUAUACCAUUUUUAUAACAUAAGGAUCAAGUCAUAACGUAGUUCAAUGGUUUUUUUUCAUGUGACUGAACUUAAAGUGAACCUUAAGUUGCCUACGUACCCUUUUUAUAACAUAGGGAUCAAGUCAUAACGUAGUUCAAUGGUUUUUUUUUCAUGUGACUGAGACUGAACUUAAAGUGAACCUUAAGUUGCCUACGUACCCUUUUUAUAACAUAGGGAUCAAGUCAUAACGUAGUUCAAUAGUUUUUUUUUUUUUUCAUGUGACUGAACUUAAAGUGAACUUUAAGCUUCAUACGUACCCUUUUUAUCACAUAUGGAUCAAGUCAUAACGUAGUUCAAUAUUUUUUUUCAUGUGACUGAACUUAAAGUGAAUAUUAAGCUGCCUACGUACCCUUUUUAUAACAAAGGGAUCAAGUCAUAACGUAGUUCAAUGAUUUUUUUUCAUGUGACUGAACUUAAAGUGAAUCUUAAGUUGCCUACGUACCUUUUUUAUAACAUAGGAAUCAAGUCACAACGUAGUUUAAUGUUUUUUUUUACAAAACAAAAUUAAGCAUAAAACUUCUUGAGAAAUUUAUCGGUGAUUGGGCCAAUUCGUAAUCCUUCUUGAUCGAUGAUUUUGUAUGCUCCAAUUGUGAAAACUUUUUGACGAUGUAGGGUCCGUCCCAUUUAUAUGUGAAUUUAUUUCUCAUAUGUCUCGUCGUGAUGAUAGGUCUUCUUACUGGCAAGCACUAACUCACCAAGAAGGACAUGGCGGAGCAUAAAGGGGAGAGUGACAGCAGCAAAAGUGAUCGUCAUUGGAAAAGACCUUUGAAGAAAGGGAAGACAUCAGGUGAUGAAUCUUGUGGAAGGGGCUCGAGUGCUAUGGGAAUUCCCGAUGUCCCACCAUUGCUUUGCAUCUUUUCCUUCUUUAAUACUUUUCUUUUACUGUUCAUCUUUCUUCGUGAGCGAUUUAUCUAUUGCUUAUUUCUGCAAUCACCUUUGGACGAUCAUCUUGAAGGACUUAUAGAUAUAGAUAGUGAUGAAUCACUAACUGGUUCUCAUAUGACUGAUACGGCCAUUGAGAAAGUUGGUAUUUCGAAGACACCAGCUGCAAAACCAGCCGAGAUGAUUUGUUUGAGACAAGAUGAAAGUGGAUGGCAAAGACAUCGAGAAUCCUCCCUUCAGAGGAGGUGCCUGUCCUACAGUGCCUUCAACGAAUGUUACAUCUAUGACUGAACUUAAAGUGAACCUUAAGCUGCCUAUAUACCAUUUUUAUAACAUAAGGAUCAAGUCAUAACGUAGUUCAAUGGUUUUUUUUCAUGUGACUGAACUUAAAGUGAACCUUAAGUUGCCUACGUACCCUUUUUAUAACAUAGGGAUCAAGUCAUAACGUAGUUCAAUGGUUUUUUUUUCAUGUGACUGAGACUGAACUUAAAGUGAACCUUAAGUUGCCUACGUACCCUUUUUAUAACAUAGGGAUCAAGUCAUAACGUAGUUCAAUAGUUUUUUUUUUUUUCAUGUGACUGAACUUAAAGUGAACUUUAAGCUUCAUACGUACCCUUUUUAUCACAUAUGGAUCAAGUCAUAACGUAGUUCAAUAUUUUUUUUCAUGUGACUGAACUUAAAGUGAAUAUUAAGCUGCCUACGUACCCUUUUUAUAACAAAGGGAUCAAGUCAUAACGUAGUUCAAUGAUUUUUUUUCAUGUGACUGAACUUAAAGUGAAUCUUAAGUUGCCUACGUACCUUUUUUAUAACAUAGGAAUCAAGUCACAACGUAGUUUAAUGUUUUUUUUUACAAAACAAAAUUAAGCAUAAAACUUCUUGAGAAAUUUAUCGGUGAUUGGGCCAAUUCGUAAUCCUUCUUGAUCGAUGAUUUUGUAUGCUCCAAUUGUGAAAACUUUUUGACGAUGUAGGGUCCGUCCCAUUUAUAUGUGAAUUUAUUUCUCAUAUGUCUCGUCGUGAUGAUAGGUCUUCUUACUGCAAGCACUAACUCACCAAGAAGGACAUGGCGGAGCAUAAAGGGGAGAGUGACAGCAGCAAAAGUGAUCGUCAUUGGAAAAGACCUUUGAAGAAAGGGAAGACAUCAGGUGAUGAAUCUUGUGGAAGGGGCUCGAGUG
rnacentral:lncRNA from 1 species